GCAGCAUAGAAAUAGGUUUCUCUGUACUUCCUGGUUGGGUGUCGCUCCCAGGUGGUGGGUGUGUCACUUUAGAGCGCAGCUGGUAGUUAUUUAUUGAGCUGGGGUCACGUAUUUAAGCAGUGGCCUCCCCCCUGCUUCUUGCUCUCCUUCCGUUGUGUCACUUCCGGGUCAUAGGUGUUGUUUUGCUGUCUGCGACAGGUACGUUUACUCUUGCUUCAACUCACUGGUUACUGGUUGUACUGAUUGAAUGCUUACGGCGUUUAUUUUGCGCUACAGAGUUGUGGGUGCGCCCCGCCGUUGAGUGCGUCUUUGGCUUGUGUGCCGCUCGCUUGGUUUCGCUGUGUUGCUGAGGUCGGUGGCGGUGCUGGUGGCGGGAUUCCCCCCCCUUUUUUUUGUUGUGUGCUGUGCUCCCUGGGAUUCAAGUUGUCACAACCGUGUGUGUGCGUGUGUCACGUGGGCGUGGGUGAUUUCUUGGUUUACUGGGUGACUUCCUCCCCACUGGCCCCUGUCCAUCCGAUUGGAGAGCUUGGAGACAGAACAGCAGUGGUUCGCAGCGGACCCCCUUGACGGUUCGGUGAGGUUGUUUCCCUAGAUUUGCUUUUUGUCGUGCCGGUGCACCAUACAAACUUUGUGUCGUAAUACAAGUUGUAGUAGUCAUGGAGAAAGAGGUUCAGGAAC